AACUUUUUAGGAGUAUCUUAUAGUGGGAUUAUAGGUGUGAUGAGAAAAUUAUCUAUAAGCACACUAUAACGAUGUCGAGAAGCAUUUAAUCCUAUAGGAAUCCACGACAGAGGUGUACAAAAUGUAGCAUCUGGAAUUGUUUAUAGAAGGCAUGAUACUCAGCUUCUCGAUUGUUCUAUAAAGGACGCCAAAGAACGGGUUGUAACUUUACCUUUUCAAGUACAAUAUUGAAAUAGCUACAUUUUGAUUCAUGAAAACAAAUUAAAAAAAUAAAUACUUUCAUAAAAAUAUACAUGUAAAAGUCUACGUGUUUUUAAUAAUCGCUACAUGUUUUUCAAUUGACUGCGAACAUCGAGCAUUUUUAGUGGGUUUGUUCUUUUGCAUGACCGCAAUCUCUGGAUUCUUCUGUCCCGAUUGUUCUACUCCCAAGAGAGCUUUAACAGCACCAUUUUCCUCAGCUACUUAAUGCGUUGUUUGUACUUGAGGAAAUCUUGAACUGUUUUUGCCGAGCGACCAGUUGCAUUGGUUUUCAAUUCGUAAUAAAUACCAGACGGUUCUGUCUGAUACAGAUGUGGGGUUCCGUCGGAGUCAAAACCCAUAAUCUGGGCAGGUACUUAUCAACAUUCAACAAAAUGUCCAACAACAUGCACGACAUUCGGCGAACAAGAAAAUCUUCCAAAAUUUACUCAACAAGUUACAACACGUUUGAAAUAUCUUGGCAACUUAAGCAUUAAAAGCAAAAAAAAAACGUAAAAUCAAAGGAAUGCAAGAGAGAAAUUCCAUAUGCCGAACACCUCCA